ACGAACGCUGGCGGCGUGCCUAAUACAUGCAAGUCGAGCGGAAUGAUGAAGAAGCUUGCUUCUUCUGAUUUUAGCGGCGGACGGGUGAGUAACACGUGGGCAACCUACCUUGUAGAUUGGGAUAACUCCGGGAAACCGGGGCUAAUACCGAAUAAUCCAGUUUUGCUUCAUGGCGAGAUGUUGAAAGACGGUUUCGGCUGUCACUACAAGAUGGGCCCGCGGCGCAUUAGCUAGUUGGUAGGGUAAUGGCCUACCAAGGCGACGAUGCGUAGCCGACCUGAGAGGGUGAUCGGCCACACUGGGACUGAGACACGGCCCAGACUCCUACGGGAGGCAGCAGUAGGGAAUCUUCCACAAUGGACGAAAGUCUGAUGGAGCAACGCCGCGUGAGUGAAGAAGGUUCUCGGAUCGUAAAACUCUGUUGUAAGGGAAGAACACGUACGAGAGUAACUGCUCGUACCUUGACGGUACCUUAUUAGAAAGCCACGGCUAACUACGUG
rnacentral:rRNA from 1 species